rnacentral:rRNA from 1 species
UACAGAGGAGCCAAGCGUUGUCCGGAUUGACUGGGCGUAAAGCGCACGCAGGCGGAUGCGCGCGUGGGGUGUGAAAUCUGGCCGCUUAACGGCCAGGCGCCAUCCCAUACGGCGCGUCUGGAGUGAUGCAGAGGUCGGUGGAAUUGCCGGUGUAGUGGUGAAAUGCGCAGAUAUCGGGAGGAACACCAAUGGCGAAGGCAGCUCGCUGGGACGGUACUGACGCUGAGACGCGAAAGCGUGGGGAGCAAACAGG